rnacentral:lncRNA from 1 species
UAGGAGUGGGUGAUCUUCAGGCAGUCAAGAGGGUCGGGGAAAGAGCUAACCCCAUCCUAUACUACUGCAGCAGGAGAGCUCUGUUCUACUGGCAAGGGGUCAAUUAGUGCUGCUUUAUCAUGCUUUAUUCCCGAUUCUAGGUUUCAGCCUGACGUGCUACCAGUGCCCUAACACAACACCUAAAUGCAUUGAAACUAAAUUGUGCACACCAAACCUCGAUGCAUGCCUUGCUGCUAAAUCUGUGUUAUAAUGCAUGGUGAGAAGGAAGACUUAGAGGCAAAGUUAAAGCGACAGAGAUCUGAAGAGCCAGGAUGACCAAUGCUUGGGCAAGCAAGGCUGAACAAACAAAGGCCCUGAACUCCCAGAGCUGUCCAUAUGUACUGGUGACAUCAUAGUCAGGCUGAGGUAAAGGCACUAUUUGGAGGGACUAUGUGGAAUUGAUAUGGAUAUGUUGCUGAUGCAGGCAAGGCUUGUAAAAGAAGAAACACGACAUUCUUGUAUUAGGAAUAGAACAGACAAAAUGUAAGUUGUGGUUAAUAAUCAAC